rnacentral:rRNA from 1 species
AUGGCCAGGUCAUGGCUGGCCGGCCUGCGGUCUCGGCUCGGCGGCGGCGCCAGGCAGGACGGGCUCGGCAUCCUGGCCUUCGAGGCGGCGGCCGCCAUGUCGCGCCUGGUCUCGCUCCACCUCUCGCUGUCCGACGCGGAGGUCAGGAGGCUCCGCGCCGACGUGCUGCGCGCCGAGGGCGUCGCGCGCCUCACGUCCACGGACCAGUCCCGCCUGCUCCGCCUCGCGUGCGCCGAGCUCAUGGCGGGCCUCGACCGCGCCGCAGACGACGCCGCGCGCCUCGGAGCGCGCUGCCGCGGGCUGCCGGACGCGCCGUUCCUGCACGACUUCGACCGCGUCUACGCCGACGCGAAGCGGGGGGCCGGCCUCGCGCGGCUGGACGCCACCGUCGGGUUCUCCAGAGGCGCCGGGAAGCGGUUCAAGAAGAUGGAGCGGCACGUGGCCGCCACGGCGAAGCUGUACGCGGAGAUGGACGCGCUCACCGAGCUGGAGGCGUCGGAGCGGCGGAUGGAGCAGUGGAAGCAGCACAGCGGGCCCAUCCCCGUGCAGUCCUCCAAGCGGCAGCCCGCGGACGAGCCAAGCGAGAAGCUCAUGGGCGAGCUCAGGUUGCAGCGGCAGAAGGUGCGGCGACUCACGGAGGGCUCGCUCUGGAGCGUCGCCGCCCACAAGGUGGCCAAGCUCAUGGCCAAGUCGGUGCUCGCCGUGCUCGCGCGCGUCUCCCUUGCCUUCGGCGCGUUAGUGCCGGGAUUGCCACCUCCGUUGACAGGCCGGGGAUGGGCGCUCGGCCACUCGUCUGGCCCCAUGCACCAGUCGACGGCGCCCGACGCGGCGAUCCGGCACUCGGCCCCGAUCUUCCGGCAAAAAGACACUGCCUCGACAUCGUCAGAGCCACUCAAGCCGCCUGCGACCACCGUCGGUGGGUCGGGGAUGGAACUGCGUUACGCGAACGUGAUCCUGUCCGCCGAGACGCUGCUCAAGGCGCUGAGGCCGGCGAUCCGCAACGAGGAGGCGCAUGACGGGAUGACGGAGCUGGCGAUGAGAGACGAGCUGUACAAGAUGCUGCCCGUGACCAUACGCGCAGCAGUGAAGGAGAAGCUGAGGGAGAGGUUGAGAGGAGGGCAGGUGGACGAGGAGGCCGCCGCGACAGCGAUGGACGCCGUGGACGGAGUGCUGCGGUGGUUGGGGCCAAUGGCGCAUGACACGCUGCGGUGGCAGGACGAGAGGAGCAUGGAGCGGAAGCAACGGUUCAGCAUGCAGCCGCGCGCGCCGAUGGUGCAGACGCUGCAUUUCGCGGACCGUCGGAAGGCGGACGCUGCUAUCGUCGAGGUGCUCGUUGGUCUCAGCUGUAUGUGCUGGUACGACGAUCAACGGCGGCGGCCGGCUGACUGGAACGAGUAG